rnacentral:rRNA from 1 species
UACGUAGGGUGCAGGCGUUAAUCGGAAUUACUGGGCGUAAAGCGUGCGCAGGCGGUCUGCUAAGAGAGAUGUGAAAUCCCCGGGCUUAACCUGGGAACUGCGUUUCUAACUGGCAGGCUUGAGUGUGGCAGAGGGGGGUGGAAUUCCACGUGUAGCAGUGAAAUGCGUAGAGAUGUGGAGGAAUACCGAUGGCGAAGGCGGCUUCCUGGCCUGUAACUGACGCUGAGACGCGAAAGCGUGGGGAGCGAACCGG